AGAGUGGUCACUGAGUUAGAGCUUAACAGUGUAAUUCCACCGCCGGACACGAUCGAAGAGG
ncrna:unclassified sequences cow-rumen-1 RNA